GACGAACGCUGGCGGCGUGCUUAACACAUGCCAGUCGAACGGAAAGGCCCUGCUUUUGUGGGGUGCUCGAGUGGCGAACGGGUGAGUAACACGUGAGUAACCUGCCCUUGACUUUGGGAUAACUUCAGGAAACUGGGGCUAAUCCCGGAUAGGAGCUCCUGCUGCAUGGUGGGGGUUGGAAAGUUUCGGCGGUUGGGGAUGGACUCGCGGCUUAUCAGCUUGUUGGUGGGGUAGUGGCUUACCCAGGCUUUGACGGGUAGCCGGCCUGAGAGGGGGGACGGCCACAUUAGGACUACGAGACGGACCAGACUCCUACGGGAGGCAGCAGUGGGGAAUAUUGCACAGUGAGCGGAAGCCUGAUGCGGCAACGCCGCGUUCGGAAUGACGGCUUUCGGGGUGAGAACCGCUUUCGCCUGUGACGAAGCGUGAGUGACGGUAAUGAAUAAAGAAGCACCGGCUAACUACGUG
rnacentral:rRNA from 1 species